GGCCCGCUAGCUCAAUUGGCAGAGCAACUGACUCUUAAUCAGUAGGUUCUCGGUUCGAGUCCGAGGCGGGUCA
rnacentral:tRNA from 4 species